GCUGGAAACCUCAUGGUGCAGUGGGUUAAUGCACCUGGCUGCUAACCAGAAGGUUGGUGGUUCGAGCCCACCCAGCG